ensembl:antisense_RNA F32F2.3 ncRNA
AUUGUGGGUUGGUGGAAAUUCCAAUUUCAUUAUUCGCAUGGUUACGGUAUCUACUUGUCCCUUUAUGCUUUAUUCUAUUAGUAUGACAUGCAAUUUGAGCUCAAUAUAUUGCCACGCUAAUUUUCAAUUAAAUAUUUGGAAUAAUCCCCAAACGACACUAACUCUUCGUAUAACUGAUCAAAUGUCCGAUCAAUUUCUUCUUCCCCCAUGCGACGACUGGAUGUGGAUCGUGACUGAAAAUCAAUGAUAUUUCAUAU